rnacentral:rRNA from 1 species
GUGGGGAAUAUUGGACAAUGGGCGAAAGCCUGAUCCAGCCAUGCCGCGUGUGUGAAGAAGGUCUUCGGAUUGUAAAGCACUUUAAGUUGGGAGGAAGGGCAGUAAGUUAAUACCUUGCUGUUUUGACGUUACCGACAGAAUAAGCACCGGCUAACUUCGUGCCAGCAGCCGCGGUAAUACGAAGGGUGCAAGCGUUAAUCGGACUUACUGGGCGUAAAGCGCGCGUAGGUGGUUUUGUAAGUUGGAGGUGAAAUCCCCGGGCUCAACCUGGGAACUGCCUCCAAAACUGCAUGACUAGAGUACGGUAGAGGGUAGUGGAAUUUCCUGUGUAGCGGUGAAAUGCGUAGAUAUAGGAAGGAACACCAGUGGCGAAGGCGACUACCUGGACUGAUACUGACACUGAGGUGCGAAAGCGUGGGGAGCAAACAGGAUUAGAAACCCGUGUAGUCC